GAAAGAUGGUGAACUAUGCCUGAAUAGGGUGAAGCCAGAGGAAACUCUGGUGGAGGCUCGUAGCGAUUCUGACGUGCAAAUCGAUCGUCAAAUUUGGGUAUAGGGGCGAAAGACUAAUCGAACUGUCUAGUAGCUGGUUCCCUCCGAAGUUUCCCUCAGGAUAGCUGGAACUUACGGCAGUUUUAUCAGGUAAAGCGAAUGAUUAGAGGUCUUAGGGUUAAAACAACCUUAACCUAUUCUCAAACUUUAAAUUGGUAAGAAGUCCGACUUGCUUAAUUGAAGCCGGACAGUGAAUGCGAGUUCCUAGUGGGCCAUUUUUGGUAAGCAGAACUGGCGAUGCGGGAUGAACCGAACGCGCGGUUAAGGUGCCAAAGUCGACGCUCAUCAGACCCCACAAAAGGUGUUGGUUGCUCUAGACAGCAGGACGGUGGCCAUGGAAGUUGGAAUCCGCUAAGGAGUGUUUAACAACUCACCUGCCGAAGCAACUAGCCCUGAAAAUGGAUGGCGCUCAAGCGUCGCACCUAUACCGUGCCGUCGGAGCAGAUGCGAAGCUCCGACGAGUAGGAGGGCGUGGGGGUCGUGACGCAGCCUCUGGCGCGAGCCUGGGUGAAACUGCCUCCAGUGCAGAUCUUGGUGGUAGUAGCAAAUAUUCAAAUGAGAGCUUUGAAGAUUGAAGUGGAGAAAGGUUCCAUGUGAACAGCAGUUGGACAUGGGUUAGUCGAUCCUAAGAGAUAGGGAAAUUCCGUUUGCAAGCGCCCGAUCUUGGGCCGCCUAUCGAAAGGGAAUCGGGUUAAUAUUCCCGAACCGGGACGCGGAUAUUGCCGUUCGCGGCAGAUGCGGUAACGCAAACGAACCCGAAGACGCUGGCGGCGGCCCUGGGAAGAGUUCUCUUUUCUUUUUAACGAGCUUUCACCCUGAAAUCAGCUUGCCUGGAGAUAGGGUUUAAUGCUCGGUAAAGCACCACACUUCUUGUGGUGUCCGGUGCGCUCUCGACGGCCCUUGAAAAUUCGGGGAAGACAUUGAUUUUCGUGUCCGGUCGUACUCAUAACCGCAGCAGGUCUCCAAGGUGAGCAGCCUCUGGUUGAUAGAACAAUGUAGGUAAGGGAAGUCGGCAAAAUAGAUCCCUAACUUCGGGAAAAGGAUUGGCUCUAAGGGUUGGGUCUGUCGGGCUGAGACUUGAAGCCAGUGGACCCGGCCCGGACUGGCCGAGGCCCUUCAGGGGGUCGAAGCUGGACCGGGAAGGGGCUGUUGGUGGAUUGGCCCAGCUAUGGUCGCGAGGCCAAUUCGGCAGGCAAUGAACAACCAACUUAGAACUGGCAGUGACUAGGGGAAUCCGACUGUUUAAUUAAAACAAAGCAUUGCGAUGGCCGGAAACGGUGUUGACGCAAUGUGAUUUCUGAAUGUCAAAGUGAAGAAAUUCAACCAAGCGCGGGUAAACGGCGGGAGUAACUAUGGAGACCAUGCCAGAUGUGACCUUCUCGUGGUGUCUCCUGUGAGUAGCCCUUGAUUUUUUAGGGGUGAAACGAAGAGAUCUGGCAACGUGGAUGCUUUUUCAUUUGCAAGCAUAAAACACCAAUUCCUAAACUUCUAUUUUGACUAGUGGUUUACCACCCGUGAACCAAUUAAUUGGUGUACCAUUUGGAACCGGUAUGGAUAUUCUUAAUUGCCCUGACUGCGAUUUCAUCGCUAAAAAUAAAGGUGGGCUAACAAACCAUCGCACACGU
rfam:Nematostella vectensis strain CH2 x CH6 NEMVEscaffold_310_Cont23333, whole genome shotgun sequence.